UACGUAGGGUGCGAGCGUUGCCCGGAUUUCUUGGGCGUAAAGGGCGCGUAGGCGGCUCGGCACGUCCGUUGUGAAAUCGCUCGGCUCAACUGGGCGAGGUCAGCGGAUACGGUCGAGCUUGAGCCAGCUAGGGGGCAAUGGAAUUCCCGGUGUAGUGGUGGAAUGCGUAGAUAUCGGGAGGAACACCAGUGGCGAAGGCGGUUGCCUGGGGCUGUGCUAACGCUGAUGCGCGAAAGCGUGGGGAGCGAUCCGG
rnacentral:rRNA from 1 species